rnacentral:tRNA from 1 species
GCCCACCUAGCUCAGUGGUAGAGCACCUCCUUGGUAAGGAGGAGGUCACGGGUUCAAGCCCCGUGGUGGGCUCCA